CGGCCUUGGCUUGAUUAUUCGCUCUUGAGAUAAAGGGUUGUGCAUAUGAUAGAUUUUAAUCUUGCCUCUUGACUUCAUCAUACUUUGAGGCUUUUUAUGAGUUACUUCUUCUUGAGAUCCAAACUAUGUCAAAGAUUUGAUAGUUUUGCAAUUUUUAGCCCCUCAUUUUGGUAUUCGUAUAUGAUGUGAAGUAAUCUUUCUAGAAUGUCAUAUCGUCUCUAAAGGGUUAUAAUGGUUUUCUUCUUAAAAAAAUAUAGACCAUCACAUCAUUCCCUUGAGAUGUGGAUGAAAUGGUUUUCUUCUUAGGAAAGCAUAGACCAUCACAUCAUUCCUUUGAGAUGUGGAUGACUUUCGCCUAUAACUAUACUUCUACUUCGGCUUCAUCUUAUCCAUUUAUUUAAUCUACCUUUUAAUACUUGACUUUUCCUCCUUUUUUUAAAAUGGGUUAUAUAAAAAUUUCAUUUUUACUCAAUUCAGAAUCUUGGAGGGACUCUACUAGCUUUGCAUCUCAGGUAGCGAUGGUUGUAGAAUUUCCCAAUCUUCUCCAUUUUCAGUGGUUAUUCAUCAUUUUCAGUUAUGGAUGUUGAAGUUGAUCAGGUCAUUAACGAACUUGUCAAGGCUUUAUCGGCAAAAUGUUUAGGCAAAUGACCUACUUUUAGUUCUAGCAACCCUAUUGUUAAGGCUGCUUAAGUUGACACUUCUCUUUUCACCCCUGCGUUCAAGAGAGCGAUGUGUUCUUAUUGAUCUUCACAAUCCUUCACAUGUCUGUCAUCCCAAACAUACUAAGGUCAUAGUUUUAUUAUGCUCUCAUAAGAUAAAGAGCCAUAACCUUUUGAGGAUGAAGUUAAAUUUAUGAAGAAAGGAACCGUUCUUCGAUGAUUUUGUCGUUUAUUCACACUCCUUUAUGGUGGGAUUCCUCCAGCUAUGAUUAACACUUGAAUCCACUAAGCUUUUUUGAGCUAGCAUAUGAGGCUGUUCACAACCUUUUCUAUGUCAGGUACUCACUGUUUAAGGCCCAAAAUUACUAUGACCUGGUCCUCAAUCAUGCUAUACGUGCUGAAGAAUUAGUUUAGGUUUCUAAGGGUAUCAUUUUCGACCUUAAGGAGAAACUUUCUGUUACUAAGAACUUGGUCCACUAGACUAAAGAAUACUUUAAUCAAAAGGAAGUUUCAAACAAGUUGACUAUCUCCAAGCUGGAAAAUGAUUUUGCUUGAUUUAUUAUGCUUAAGUUAGGACAAUCUUUGCCAAAUUAUACUCAGAUUUUUGUACUUGAGGCCCAACUUUAUGAGCUUAAGUUUUCCUAUAAAGGUGAAACUCAUAAACAUUUCAUAGAUGGUGUGAAGGCUUUUUAUGAAGCAACAAAGACUGUCUUCCCAAAUCUUAAAUUGGUUAUGUGAUGAGAAUCCACUAGUACCCGUAUAACCAACUAUCUGCUAGAGUGUUGAUACUGUACAAAUGAAGACGAGACCAAUUACGAAGGCACAAGCUAAGAGAUUCAAGGACAACCUGGUUAGCUUUAUACAAGAUGUGAUUCAAACUCAAGAGGGCAUAACAAUACCCGAAGAUCCAAAGCCCGUCUUGUGCAUCUAAGUUUUGAAGGUGGAAAUGGAUCCAGCAAGCUGUUUUGGUGCAUGUAUGGGUUUCGAGCAGCAAAGAAUUACUUUGUUAACUUGCGAACAUGAUUAAACUCAAUAAGGGACCAUGGAAUCAUGCCAAGACAGAAUUGAAGCCAUUCAAAUGAGGCAUUUGUGCACAAGACUCCAUUUGGCCGAAAAU